UGUGCUGAUUGCGACGGGGAAAUACCGGAUCCCAUUCCGAACUCCGAAGUCAAGCCCGUCUGCGGCAAUGGUACUGCAC
rnacentral:rRNA from 1 species